GCCUGGGUGGCUCAGUUGGUUGAGUGCCCGACUUCGGCUCAGGUCACGAUCUCGCGGUCCGCGAGUUCGAGCCCCGCGUCGGGCU
rnacentral:tRNA from 1 species